GAGGGUACAGUUCAGUGGCAGAGUGUGUGCUUAGUAUACAAGAGGUCCUGGGUUCAAUCCCCAGUACCUCCA
rnacentral:tRNA from 1 species